GACGAACGCUGGCGGCGUGCUUAACACAUGCAAGUCGAACGGAAAGGCCCUGCUUUUGUGGGGUGCUCGAGUGGCGAACGGGUGAGUAACACGUGAGUAACCUGCCCUUGACUUUGGGAUAACUUCAGGAAACUGGGGCUAAUACCGGAUAGGAGCUCCUGCUGCAUGGUGGGGGUUGGAAAGUUUCGGCGGUUGGGGAUGGACUCGCGGCUUAUCAGCUUGUUGGUGGGGUAGUGGCUUACCAAGGCUUUGACGGGUAGCCGGCCUGAGAGGGUGACCGGCCACAUUGGGACUGAGAUACGGCCCAGACUCCUACGGGAGGCAGCAGUGGGGAAUAUUGCACAAUGGGCGGAAGCCUGAUGCAGCAACGCCGUGUGCGGGAUGACGGCCUUCGGGUUGUAAACCGCUUUCGCCUGUGACGAAGCGUGAGUGACGGUAAUGGGUAAAGAAGCACCGGCUAACUACGUG
rnacentral:rRNA from 1 species